GAUGAACGCUGGCGGCAGGCCUAACACAUGCAAGUCGAACGAGUGGCGGACGGGUGAGUAAUGUCUGGGAAACUGCCCGAUGGAGGGGGAUAACUACUGGAAACGGUAGCUAAUACCGCAUACCAUCGGAUGUGCCCAGAUGGGAUUGGCUAGUAGGUGGGGUAACGGCUCACCUAGGCGACGAUCCCUAGCUGGUCUGCGAGGAUGACCAGCCAAACUGGAACUGAGACACGGUCCAGACUCCGACGGGAGGCAGCAGUGGGGAAUAUUGCACAAUGGGCGCAAGCCUGAUGCAGCCAUGCCGCGUGUAUGAUGAAGGCCUUCGGGUUGUAAAGUACUUUCGGCGGGGAGGCGUUACCCGCAGAAUAAGCACCGGCUAACUCCGUGCCAGCAGCCGCGGUAAUUC
rnacentral:rRNA from 1 species